CAUGCAAGUCGAGCGGCAGCGACUUAACUGAACCUUCGGGGAACGUUAAGGGCGGCGAGCGGCGGACGGGUGAGUAAUGCCUGGGAAAUUGCCCUGAUGUGGGGGAUAACCAUUGGAAACGAUGGCUAAUACCGCAUGAUAGCUUCGGCUCACAGAGGGGGACCUUCAGGCCUCUCGCGUCAGGAUAUGCCCAGGUGGGAUUAGCUAGUUGGUGAGGUAAGGGCUCACCAAGGCGACGAUCCCUAGCUGGUCUGACAGGAUGAUCAGCCACACUGGAACUGACACACGGUCCAGACUCCUACGGGAGGCACCAGUGGGGAAUAUUGCACAAUGGGCGCAAGCCUGAUGCAGCCAUGCCGCGAUGUAUGAAGAAGGCCUUCGGGUUGUAAAGUACUUUCAUCAGUGAGGAAGGCGGGUGUGUUAAUAGCGCAUUCGUUUGACGUUAGCUGCAUAAGAAGCACCGGCUAACUCCGUGCCAGCAUCCGCGGUAAUACGGAGCGUGCGAGCGUUAAUCGGAAUUACUGGGCGUAAAGCGCAUGCAGGUGGUUUGUUAAGCUCAGAUGUGAAAGCCCGGGGCUCAACCUCGGAAUUGCACUUUGAAACUGGUACGCUAGAGUACUGUAGAGGGGGGGUACAAUUUUCAGUGUAGCGAUGAAAUGCGUAGAGAUCUAGAAUGGAAUACCGGUGGCGAAGAGCCGCCCCCCUGGGACAGAUACUCGACAUCUCAUAUGCCAAGAGCGCUGGGGAUGCAAACACGAUGUAGAUACCCCUGGGUAGUC
rnacentral:rRNA from 1 species